rnacentral:rRNA from 1 species
ACGAGGGGUGCGAGCGUUGUUCGGAAUCACUGGGCGUAAAGGGAGCGUAGGCGGACUAACAAGCAAGGCGUGCAAAACCGAAGCCCAACUUCGGCAUUGCGUUUUGGACUGUUAGUCUUGGAUAUUUCAGAGGCAAGCGGAAUUCUUGGUGGAGCGGUGGAAUGCGUAGAUAUCAGGAAGAACACCGGAGGCGAAGGCGGCUUGCUGGGGAAUUAUCGACGCUGCAGCUCGAAAGCGCGGGUAGCAAACAG